AUCCCAGCGGUGCCUCCAGAAUUGUGUAACACCCGUCCCACGUUCUAUUGAGAGGGGCCCUGGGUUCC
ensembl:miRNA